CAGCGCGGGCGGAGACUCCGGCUCUUUUGUUCCUCAGCGGCCAAAAUGGCGGCGCCGAGCGGGGCGCCCCCUCCCCCCACCCGGCCGCAGAUCUCCUAGACUCUCAGACUGCGAGGAUGAAUUCAGAAGCCUGCUGCCCUUUAUACUGAACUCCCACUCACUCCCCGAGUCCUCUGUGCUCACUCUGUCUGGGGCCUCUCUCCUCUGUCACGUGGUAAAGUAAAACUGGUCUCCCGAGGAAA